GAAUCUUCCACAAUGGACGAAAGUUUGAUGGAGCAAUGCUGCGUGAGAGAAGAUGGUUUUUGGAUCGUAAAGCUCUGUUGUAAGGGAAGAACACGUACGGGAGUAACUGCCCGUACCUUGACGGUACCUUAUCAGAAAGCCACGGCUAACUACGUGCCAGCAGCCGCGGUAAUACGUAGGUGGCAAGCGUUGGCCGGAAUUAUUGGGCGUAAAGCGCGCGCAGGCGGCCUGUUAAGUCUGAUGUGAAAGCUCCCGGCUCAACCGGGGAAGGUCAUUGGAAACUGAUAGGCUUGAGUACAGAAGAGGAAAGCGGAAUUCCACGUGUAGCGGUGAAAUGCGUAGAGAUGUGGAGGAACACCAGUGGCGAAGGCGGCUUUCUGGUCUGUAACUGACGCUGAGGCGCGAAAGCGUGGGGAGCAAACA
rnacentral:rRNA from 1 species